UCAUAUUUAUUCAACUUGUACCCUACUCAAAGACCAAAUUAAAUUAUUUCAUUAUUCCCAAGAACUUUCGAAGGGAUAAAAAGGGUUCAUGCCAACCAUUACUAAUGCCUACUAGUGCCACAGACUGGGAGCUCCCUGAGGGCAGGGAUGGCGCUAACCUACCCUCGUAUUCUCUGUGGCAGACAGACAAGUGCCGCACGAGGGAUGCAGCAACCACAGAGGGAUGCGGGGCUUGGAGGUAGGGUUGGGGCCGGGGCUGGCUCGAGCGCGCUCGGGACGUACAGGAAGGGGCCAGAUGCGAUGCUCCACGAGAGCACCAGGCACUCAGUCAAGAGUUGGGCACGCGUUGGGAGGAUUAUCUGACCAGUUUUUCCUUUUUUAAAUAAAUCAAUUGCUAAGUUCCUGUUCAUCCAGAAAGAGGCACUGCUCAGCAAGUUGAGGAAUCUAUGAUGAAAGUAGUUCUUUUCUUGCUUCCAUGCUACUGGUUCUGUAGAAAAUCAGCCUAUUCAAAAGAUUUUUGCCCUUGAUGAAGUCUCCAGCCCUCAAGAUUUAACUGCAAUAUAACUUAGAAGGAGUGAGAAGAUCAAAAAAGUAACUGCAAUAUAACAUUAACUUGGAUUUUAAGAUUAUCAACUCUUAGGUAGACUGGAGAAACACCUUUUCCUCUGGCCUUUAAAGCACAAUAAACUUAUCCAGCAAGGAUGGCGACUAA
rnacentral:lncRNA from 1 species